CAGCGACUUAUAUUCUGUAGCAAGGUUAACCGAAUAGGGGAGCCGGAGGGAAACCGAGUCUUAACCGGGCGUUAAGUUGCAGGGUAUAGACCCGAAACCCGGUGAUCUAGCCAUGGGCAGGUUGAAGGUUGGGUAACACUAACUGGAGGACCGAACCGACUAAUGUUGAAAAAUUAGCGGAUGACCUGUGGCUGGGGGUGAAAGGCCAAUCAAACCGGGAGAUAGCUGGUUCUCCCCGAAAGCUAUUUAGGUAGCGCCUCGUGAAUUCAUCUCCGGGGGUAGAGCACUGUUUCGGCUAGGGGGCCAUCCCGGCUUACCAACCCGAUGCAAACUGCGAAUACCGGAGAAUGUUAUCACGGGAGACACACGGCGGGUGCUAACGUCCGUCGUGAAGAGGGAAACAACCCAGACCGCCAGCUAAGGUCCCAAAGUCAUGGUUAAGUGGGAAACGAUGUGGGAAGGCCCAGACAGCCAGGAUGUUGGCUUAGAAGCAGCCAUCAUUUAAAGAAAGCGUAAUAGCUCACUGGUCGAGUCGGCCUGCGCGGAAGAUGUAACGGGGCUAAACCAUGCACCGAAGCUGCGGCAGCGACACUGUGUGUUGUUGGGUAGGGGAGCGUUCUGUAAGCCUGUGAAGGUGUGUCGUGAGGCAUGCUGGAGGUAUCAGAAGUGCGAAUGCUGACAUAAGUAACGAUAAAGCGGGUGAAAAGCCCGCUCGCCGGAAGACCAAGGGUUCCUGUCCAACGUUAAUCGGGGCAGGGUGAGUCGACCCCUAAGGCGAGGCCGAAAGGCGUAGUCGAUGGGAAACGGGUUAAUAUUCCCGUACUUGGUGUUACUGCGAAGGGGGGACGGAGAAGGCUAUGUUGGCCGGGCGACGGUUGUCCCGGUUUAAGCGUGUAGGUGUGUGUUCCAGGUAAAUCCGGUUCACUUUAACACUGAGGCGUGACGACGAGGCACUACGGUGCUGAAGCAACAAAUGCCCUGCUUCCAGGAAAAGCCUCUAAGCAUCAGGUAACAUCAAAUCGUACCCCAAACCGACACAGGUGGUCAGGUAGAGAAUACCAAGGCGCUUGAGAGAACUCGGGUGAAGGAACUAGGCAAAAUGGUGCCGUAACUUCGGGAGAAGGCACGCUGACACGUAGGUGAAGUGAUUUACUCAUGGAGCUGAAGUCAGUCGAAGAUACCAGCUGGCUGCAACUGUUUAUUAAAAACACAGCACUGUGCAAACACGAAAGUGGACGUAUACGGUGUGACGCCUGCCCGGUGCCGGAAGGUUAAUUGAUGGGGUCAGCGCAAGCGAAGCUCCUGAUCGAAGCCCCGGUAAACGGCGGCCGUAACUAUAACGGUCCUAAGGUAGCGAAAUUCCUUGUCGGGUAAGUUCCGACCUGCACGAAUGGCGUAAUGAUGGCCAGGCUGUCUCCACCCGAGACUCAGUGAAAUUGAACUCGCUGUGAAGAUGCAGUGUACCCGCGGCAAGACGGAAAGACCCCGUGAACCUUUACUAUAGCUUGACACUGAACAUUGAGCCUUGAUGUGUAGGAUAGGUGGGAGGCUUUGAAGUGUGGACGCCAGUCUGCAUGGAGCCGACCUUGAAAUACCACCCUUUAAUGUUUGAUGUUCUAACGUGGACCCGUUACCCGGGUUGCGGACAGUGUCUGGUGGGUAGUUUGACUGGGGCGGUCUCCUCC
rnacentral:rRNA from 1 species